CUACUGCUGAGAAGCAGGUCGAGUUCACUCAUUGAUACUACAGAGCUGGUUUUGUCAUGAGGUUGCAGUUGCCCGGUGUGUCAGCGUGGGACUUCAGAGUUUUCCAAAACCGGAGAGAUCACGGGAGAUGCCUCUUGGGCUGAAAUCUGACCCCAAGGCCUCUCGGUGCCUCCAGAGGCCCAGACUGGCUGCCCUGUGGCUCCUACAGCAGGAUGAUGCAAUCAUUGUGCCGAAGCGUGGCUAGAGUUUCCUGCACAACGCAUGAAGUUGCUUAGUCUGCGGAAGCCUCUCUCACAGCCGCAAUUUAACAUCGUGCCCGUCUUGUAUUGGAGAGCUCUGUAUGUGGCAUGCUGGAGGUUUGGUGGGUUAUCGUCACAAAGGUCUGCAAAGAAAGAGAGCAUUAUCUACAAUAGCCAUGAUACGGAAGCAGCCCAAGUGUCCAUCGGCUGAUGACAUGGAUGAAGAAAAGGGGGUGUAUAUACACAAUGGAACAUUAGUCAGCCAUAAAAAAGAAUGAAAUCUUGCCAUUUGCAACAACAUGGAUGGAGCUAGAGAGUAUAAUGCUAAGUGAAGUAAGUCGGUCAGAGAAAGACAAAUACCAUAUGAUUUCACUCAUAUGUGGACUAAGAAACAAAACAAACAAGCAAAGGGGAAAAGAGAGAGAGAGACAACCCAAGAGACAGACUCUUAACUCUAGCGACCAAACUGAUGGUCACCAGAGGGGAAGGAGUAGGGGGAUGGGGACACAGGUGAUGAGGAUGAAGGAGAGCACUUGUGAUGAGCAGCGGGUGAUGUAUGGAAGUGUUGAAUCACUACAUUGUACACCUGGAACUAGUAUUUUACUGUAUGUGAACUAACUGGAAUUUAAAUAAAAACAUAAAAAAAAUAAAAAACAAUGUACAUACCUUAAUUAAAAAUACUUUAUGGCUGAAACAAUGUUAACCAUCAUCUGAGCUUUCAGCAAGUUGUAAUCAUCACAAAUCACCAUAACAAACAUAAUGACUAAGUUUGGAAUAUUGUGAGAAUUACCAAAACAUGGCACAGAGACACGAAGCGAUCAGAUGCUGUUGGAAAAAUGACACCCACAGUGUUGCUCAACUCAGGGUUGCCACAAACCUUCAGUUUGUAAAAACAGUAUCUGUGAGGUGGAAUACAGUGAAGCGUGAUGAAACCUGGAGUAUUGUUGUUGCUGAUGUAUGGGUGGGGCAGGGGUAAUGAGUUCGGAUGGGUCAUUUGAAAGGUCUGACCAAUGAGCCUAGAAGUAUUUCAGUUUUUAAACAACCAACAUGCACCCCAAUGUUUAUAGCAGCAAUGUCCGCAAGAGCCAAACUGUGGAAAGAGCCAAGAUGUCCAUCGACAGAUGAAUGGAAAAAGAAGAUGUGGUCCAUAUAUGCAAUGGGAUAUUACUCAGUCAUCAAAAAGAACGAAAUCUUGCCAUUUGCAACAACGUGAAUGGAACUAGAGGGUAUUAUGCUAAGCAAAAUAAGCCAGUCAGAGAAAGACAAAUACCAUAUGAUUUCACUCAUAUGUGGAAUUUAAGAAACAAAACAGACGAACAUAGGGGAAGGGAGGGAAAAAUAAAACAAGAUGAAAUCAGAGUUGGAGACAAACCAUAAGAGACUUAACUUUAGGAAACAAACUGAGGGUUGCUGGAGGGGAGGUGGUGGGGGAAGGGUAAUUGGGUGAUGGACAUUAAGGAGGUGAUGUAAUGAGCACUGGGUGUUGUAUGCAACUGAUGAAUCACUAAAUUCUACCCCUGAAACUAAUAAUAUACUAAUGUUAACUAAAUUGAAUUUAAAUAAAUAAUUAAAAAAUAAACAACCAAUAUGACUAGGGCAGUGAUUCUCCAGUCUUUUUAUAUCAGGACCCCUUUCACUCUUAAAAAUUAUUGAGGACCGCGGCGCCUGGGUGGCUCAGUUGAUUAAGCGACUGCCUUCGGCUCAGGUCAUGAUCCUGGAGUCCCAGGAUAGAGUCCCUCAUCGGGCUCCCUGCUCGGCGGGGAGUCUGCUUCUCCCUCUGACCCUCCCCCCUCUCAUGUGCUUGCUCUCUCUCAUUCUCUCUCUCUCAAAUAAAUAAAAUAAAAUCUUAAAAAAAAAAAAUUAUUGAGGACCUAGAAGCUUUUGUUUUUGUGAGUUGUAUCAAUCAUUAUUUACCAUAUUAGAAAUUAAAAUGGAAAGUUUAAAAGUGCCUAUUUAUUUAUUCAUUUUAAAAUAACAAUAACAAGCCAUCACACUAACAAACAAUUUUUAUAAAAAAUGACUACAUUUUCCAAAACAACAGCAACAGAAAGCAGUGGGAAGAGUGGUAUUGUUUUACAUUUUUGCAACCUUUUAAACUGUCUGGCUUAAUAGAAGGUGGAUUCUCACAUUUGUUUCUGCAUUCAAGCUACUGCAAUAUGUUGUUUUGAUUGAAGUAUA